GAUGAAGAACGUAGCGAAAUGCGAUAAGUAAUGUGAAUUGCAGAAUUCAGUGAAUCAUCGAGUCUUUGAACGCACAUUGCGCCCCCUGGUAUUCCGGGGGGCAUGCCUGUCCGAGCGUCAUUGCUGCCCUCAAGCACGGCUUGUGUGUUGGGCCCCCGUCCCCGGUUCUCCCCGGGGACGAGCCCGAAAGGCAGCGGCGGCACCGCGUCCGAUCCUCGAGCGUAUGGGGCUUUGUCACCCGCUCUGUAGGCCCGGCCGGCGCCAGCCGACACCCCAACUUUAUUUUCUAAGGUUGACCUCGGAUCAGGUAGGGAUACCCGCUGAACUUAAGCAUAUCAAUAAGCGGAGGA
rnacentral:misc_RNA from 1 species